CACGUAGGGUGCAAGCGUUGUCCGGAUUUAUUGGGCGUAAAGAGCUCGUAGGUGGUUCGGUAAGUCGGGUGUGAAAACUCUGGGCUCAACUCAGAGACGCCACCCGAUACUGCUGUGACUCGAGUCUGGUAGGGGAGUGUGGAAUUCCCAGUGUAGCGGUGAAAUGCGCAGAUAUUGGGAGGAACACCAGUGGCGAAGGCGGCACUCUGGGCCAGUACUGACACUGAGGAGCGAAAGCGUGGGUAGCGAACAGG
rnacentral:rRNA from 1 species